rnacentral:tRNA from 1 species
AACUCCGUAGUUCAAAGGAUAGAACAAAAGUUUCCUAAACUUUAGAUACAGGUUCGAUUCCUGUCGGAGUUACAA